GUUGGAUCGAAAGUUAGACUCUGUGCAGUUAUUGUAGCAGUAGCAGUUGUGGAGAAACAGGGCACGUGCUCCUUCUUGAAGCUAUGAUCACGAUCGCGGUCGCCGAUUACGAUAGCUGCGGCGGAAGUGGCGGUAGUGCUAUACGGAGAGGAAUCGAGGAGCGGCGGAAGGUGAGAGACGGAAGACGGUGAACUCACUUCCUG
rnacentral:misc_RNA from 1 species